rnacentral:lncRNA from 12 species
UUAUUUAUUGAGAAAUUAUUCUCCUUGUUUUGUUUCUUUGUCUACUGUGUCCUUUAUCUCUUUGAGAAUACUGGGUAUUUGAGAAUAACUGAUCUAAAGCUUUCCUAUAGGAGGUGACAAGCACAGGGUGGCCAUCUGUCCUUGGGCCCUCCAGGCCCUCUGACCUUAGGGCGGUGGGUGAACUGGGGGAGCCCGGGGAAAAGUCAUGAGCUCGGACCGGCAGAGACCCAGUGCCCUCACCAGGGCUGCCCACUGGCCAGGCCCAGCCUUUGAAGCAGUCUCGAGGCUCCCCCACCUGCACCCAUACCUGCACCCCCACCCGGCGCUGAUGCCUGUGGCCUCUUGGAGACCAGACCUCACCAGCUGCCCACUCUCCGGGCCGAGCUCAGCCAGCCAGGCCGCGGUGCCUUUGGACAUCGGAUGUGACCAGGUGAGAAUGGUGGCGGUGGCCGGCCGCUGGGGCCUCCGAGGGCCCGAGAAGGCGGGUCCCCGUGGACAUAAGCUCGGCCACCCUUGGGCCUUGGUGCCCCACAGAUCCGGGCCCUGGGAUGACUGCUCCAUCCCAAGUGGACAAAACCUCACCUUCUUUGGAGAACAGUGGACAGAGGCCCUAACAGGCCUGGAAGGAAAGAAAUGUCUUUUGGAAAUGCCUUUUUGAAAUGGAAUUGUUAGACCACCUCUAGAAGCAACAUCAGGAGUGACACACGUCCAUGUUUGUGCAGUGGGUGAGAGGACACGAAGUAGACAACCCUGAGGAGGAAGAAAAGAAGGUUCUGUGCCAGACUGGUCAUAUUUAGAAGACAUUUUCAUAUUAUAAGCAUUUUUUUGUGUGUGCAUUUUAUUCCUCAACUACUGUGUAUAUAGUUGACAAUGCUAAGUACCUUUUCAAAUAUCUAAUCUUCCUAGAGGUUCUGAAGUGCCUGAUACAUCUUAAAAAAUAGAGGUAGUAAAAAGCCAUUUUGAAAAUAUCUUCGUUGAACAUUCUUAUGAAGUGCUGUUUAAUUUGGGGGGAACGGCCAAGCCACCUCUUUGAAUAGUAUGCAUUGUGUUUGUGCACUGGCUCAAAGGAGGAGGGAGGAGAAGGUGCAAAGAACUCUGCCAGUGUGUUUAUAGCGAGGGAAGACUAACCAUUGUCCUCUAUGUUCCUGCAUUUUGUUUUACUUAGCUGUGUAUAUAGCAUAUACACUGGACAAAUGAGUCCUAAUUUUCAACAUCUAGUCUUUCCAGAUGUUAAAGAGGUUGCCAGUGUAUGAUAAAAAAUAGUAAAUGAAUAUGUUUUGCAUGUUUUGUGUUAAAAUUCCUAGAAAGAUUGUCUUCUGAAAAUUGGAGCAUUUUAGCUCACAGAGUUGCUAGA